rnacentral:misc_RNA from 1 species
UGUGGGAGCGAGCUUGCUCGCGAAGGAGUGUCAGACACGCCCAUGUAGCUGGCACUCCAUCGCGAGCAAGCUCGCUCCUACA